UGCGCAGGCGGUUCUCCAAGUCCGUUGUGAAAGCCCCGGGCUCAACCUGGGAAUGGCAGUGGAAACUAGGGGACUCGAAUCUGGCAGAGGGGGGUGGAAUUCCACGUGUAGCAGUGAAAUGCGUAGAGAUGUGGAGGAACACCGAUGGCGAAGGCAGCCCCCUGGGCUGAGAUUGACGCUCAGGCACGAAAGCGUGGGAGCAAACA
rnacentral:rRNA from 1 species